rnacentral:rRNA from 1 species
ACUCCUACGGGAGGCAGCAGUGGGGAAUAUUGGACAAUGGGCGAAAGCCUGAUCCAGCCAUGCCGCGUGUGUGAAGAAGGCCUUUUGGUUGUAAAGCACUUUAAGCGAGGAGGAGGCUACCUAUAUUAAUACUAUAGGCUAGUGGACGUUACUCGCAGAAUAAGCACCGGCUAACUCCGUGCCAGCAGCCGCGGUAAU